rnacentral:rRNA from 1 species
ACAGGGAUUGCCUCAGUAACGGCGAGUGAAGCGGCAGCAGCUCAGAUUUGAAAUCUGGCCCCGGCUCGGGGUCCGAGUUGUAGUCUGUAGAGGAUGCUUCGGGGGUGGGCCGGGUCUAAGUUCCUUGGAACAGGGCGUCGGAGAGGGUGAGAGUCCCGUCUGUGGCCCGUGCUUCCUCCCCCGGGUGAAGCUCCCUCGACGAGUCGAGUUGUUUGGGAAUGCAGCUCAAAUCGGGUGGUAAAUCUCACCUAAAGCUAAAUACCGGCCGGAGACCGAUAGCGCACAAGUAGAGUGAUCGAAAGAUGAAAAGCACCUUGAAAAGAGAGUUAAACAGCACGUGAAAUUGUUGAAAGGGAAGCGCUCGCGAUCAGACUUGACCGUGGUCCCUCAGUCCGGCGGGUCCCCACCCGUCGACGCACUGGACCGCGGGCAGGCCAGCAUCGGCUCCGGCGGCGGAAGGAAGACGCCGGGAAUGUGGCUCCCCUCGGGGUGCGUUAUAGCCCGGCGUGCCACGCCGUCGCCGGGGCCGAGGUCCGCGCUCCGGCAAGGAUGCUGGCGUAAUGAUCGCCAGCGACCCGUCUUGAAACACGGACCAAGGAGUCUAACAUCCACGCGAGUGUUUGGGCGUUGAAACCCCGACGCGCAAUGAAAGUGAACGGAAGUGGGACCCCACAGGGGCGCACCAUCGACCGAUCCUGAGGUCUUCCGAUGGAUUUGAGUACGAGCGUGGCUGUUGGGACCCGAAAGAUGGUGAACUAUGCCUGAAUAGGGUGAAGCCAGAGGAAACUCUGGUGGAGGCUCGCAGCGGUUCUGACGUGCAAAUCGAUCGUCAAAUUUGGGUAUAGGGGCGAAAGACUAAUCGAACCAUCUAGUAGCUGGUUCCUGCCGAAGUUUCCCUCAGGAUAGCAGUAACGCGUGGCAGUUUUAUGAGGUAAAGCGAAUGAUUAGAGGCCUUGGGGUUGAAACAACCUUAACCUAUUCUCAAACUUUGAAUAUGUAAGAAGUCCUUGUUGCUUUGUUGAACGUGGACAUUCGAAUGUACCGUUACUAGUGGGCCAUUUUUGGUAGCAGAACUGGCGAUGCGGGAUGAACCGAACGCGGGGUUAAGGUGCCGGAAUGCACGCUCAUCAGGCACCACAAAAGGUGUUGGUUCAUCUAGACAGCAGGACGGUGGCCAUGGAAGUCGGAACCCGCUAAGGAGUGUGUAACAACCCACCUGCCGAAUGAACUAGCCCUGAAAAUGGAUGGCGCUCAAGCGUGCUACCCAUACCCCGCCGCCAGGGUAGGAACGAUGCCCUGGCGAGUAGGCAGGCGUGGGGGUCCGUGACGAAGCCUUGGGAGCGAUCCCGGGUCGAACGGCCCCUAGUGCAG